rnacentral:rRNA from 1 species
AGUCGAGCGGUAACAGGAAUUAGCUUGCNUAAUUUGCUGACGAGCGGCGGACGGGUGAGUAACGCGUAGGAAUCUGCCUGGUAGUGGGGGACAACAUGUGGAAACGCAUGCUAAUACCGCAUACGCCCUACGGGGGAAAGGAGGGGAUCUUCGGACCUUUCGCUAUCAGAUGAGCCUGCGUGAGAUUAGCUAGUUGGUGGGGUAAAGGCUCACCAAGGCGACGAUCUCUAGCUGGUCUGAGAGGAUGAUCAGCCACACUGGGACUGAGACACGGCCCAGACUCCUACGGGAGGCAGCAGCGGGGAAUAUUGGACAAUGGGCGCAAGCCUGAUCCAGCCAUGCCGCGUGUGUGAAGAAGGCCUUCGGGUUGUAAAGCACUUUCAGAGGUGAGGAAGGGUGUGCCGUUAAUACCGGUAUGCUUUGACGUUAGCCUCAGAAGAAGCACCGGCUAACUCUGUGCCAGCAGCCGCGGUAAUACAGAGGGUGCGAGCGUUAAUCGGAAUUACUGGGCGUAAAGCGCGCGUAGGUGGUUUGUUAAGUCGGAUGUGAAAGCCCAGGGCUCAACCUUGGAAUUGCACCCGAUACUGGCAAGCUAGAGUACGGUAGAGGGGUGUGGAAUUUCCUGUGUAGCGGUGAAAUGCGUAGAUAUAUGAAGGAAC